GUUUGAGAUCCUUUGAACAACGUGUGUCAAGACAGACUACUAACGCAGAAACACCUCACUAAAAGAAACAACAAAAAUAACGACAAAGAGGCAAAGGGGCAAAUUAAGAAAAAGGGAAGAAGCAACCAGAAAACACAGAAUUAUGCUACAACAUUUUUUAGGUGAACGUUAGUUGGUGCUCCUUCGGACUCUCAAUGGUACCUCCUGCUUGCUUAUAAGACUUCAGAUUUGCCAGAGGAAUGUCUGUCAUGUGGCUGCCAUUGUUGAAAUGGCCUUCAUUGGAGCCAUACUGCUUACGGUCAUUGAACUGGUUCCUGUUGCUAUCUUCUUUCCAGGCUCUGGUUCACCUUGGUGUACUCCCUGACUCCGUGGCCACUAACACAUUUCGCUUAAACCAAUCCAUGCUCUACAUUGAGAUCACAGAGAGAGAGAGUGAGUGCGUGCGAUCGCACAACAGUGGGGAGCAGCAGAGG